GACGAACGCUGGCGGCGUGCUUAACACAUGCAAGUCGAACGGAAAGGCCCUGCUUUUGUGGGGUGCUCGAGUGGCGAACGGGUGAGUAACACGUGAGUAACCUGCCCUUGACUUUGGGAUAACUUCAGGAAACUGGGGCUAAUACCGGAUAGGAGCUCCUGCUGCAUGGUGGGGGUUGGAAAGUUUCGGCGGUUGGGGAUGGACUCGCGGCUUAUCAGCUUGUUGGUGGGGUAGUGGCUUACCAAGGCUUUGACGGGUAGCCGGCCUGAGGGGGUGACCGGCCAAAUUGGGACUGAGAUACGGCCCAGACUCCUACGGGGGGCAGAAGUGGGGAAUUUUGCAAAAGGGGGGGAAGCCUGAUGCAGAAACGCCGGGGGGGGGAUGACGGCCUUCGGGUUGUAAACCGCUUUCCCCUGGGACGAAGCGUGGGUGACGGUAAUGGGUAAAGAAGCACCGGCUAACUACGU
rnacentral:rRNA from 1 species